AUUGAACGCUGGCGGCAGGCUUAACACAUGCAAGUCGAACGAGUGGCGGACGGGUGAGUAAUGCUUGGGAAUCUGGCUUAUGGAGGGGGAUAACUACUGGAAACUGUAGCUAAUACCGCAUACCAUCGGAUGUGCCCAGUUGGGAUUAGCUAGUUGGUGGGGUAAAGGCUCACCUAGCCGACGAUCUCUAGCUGGUCUGAGAGGAUGAUCAGCCACACUGGGACUGAGACACGGUCCAGACUCCUACGGGAGGCAGCAGUGGGGAAUAUUGCACAAUGGGCGCAAGCCUGAUGCAGCCAUGCCGCGUGUAUGAAGAAGGCCUUCGGGGUGUAAAGUACUUUCGGUGGCGAGGCGUUACCGACAGAAGAAGCACCGGCUAACUCCGUGUCAGCAGCCGCGGUAAUAC
rnacentral:rRNA from 1 species